rnacentral:rRNA from 1 species
CCCUUAGAUGUCCGGGGCCGCACGCGCGCUACACUGAAGGAAUCAGCGUGGCUUUCUCCCUGACCCGAAAGGGUUGGGACACCCGUUGAAUCUCCUUCGUGAUAGGGAUUGGGGCUUGAAAUUGUUCCCCAUGAACGAGGAAUUCCCAGUAAGCGCGAGUCAUAAGCUCGCGUUGAUUACGUUCCUGCCCUUUGUACACACCGCCCGUCGCUACUACCGAUUGAACGGUUUAGUGAGGGCCUCGGAUUGGUCUCGGCCCGCUCUUUACCGGGCGGCGCCGUUGGUCGAGAAGACGCUCGAACUUGAUCGUUUAGAGGAAGUAAAAGUCGUAACA